UGCAGCUAGGGGAGGAAGAGAAUUUCUCUGCAUGUGGUCAGGAAGGUCCCCGCACCUCGCCGUACCUGCCCCCCGGGAGACUGGACGGAAACCUGGACCAUCUCCUACCUGAGAGGAAUGAUCAAAACGCCAAUCUGCUCGUGGGACAAGCAGCGAAUGAAUGCCAUAUCUAUUUGCGAGAGACAGUGAAAAGCUGCAUUGUGUGAAAGUAUGGGGACGUUGAACGCGGGACUGUUCCAGUCUGUGUGGUUCUAUCAAUACUAUCUAGUCCCGAAUCAAGGAUGCCAUUUUCUUCAUUUUGCUUUUAGUGCAUAUUGUGUAAGAAAAUGGAAAAUGUGAUAUCUACGAAUGGCGAAUAUGAUAUAUUGCACAGCAGUAACAGACACAUGCAUGUCAGAUAAAUAAA